rnacentral:sRNA from 1 species
UCUAUGCAGACGACUUGCAGCUAUAUCGC